UCCUUCAAGUUUGCGUAGUUUGUGGAAGAA
rnacentral:piRNA from 1 species